UGUGGUGUGACUUUAAAGAGAAGAAAGAUCUGAUGCUUUUUUUUUUUUUUUUUAAGGCUUCAUAUUGCCAUAUCUCGUAACGUGACAGAACUUGGAUUCUGGAGCUAAUCUCAUAGCCACUCUUUCGCUUCCUCAUUGGAAGGCUCAAUCACAAAAUGGAACAAUGUCAGUUCCCCUGGAAAGAGUGUAAGGCUCCUCAGAUCUCUUCCAAGCGCUUCACGAAGGCCUUGGAGAAGACCGGAAAUAUGACUGAAGAGUGUAGAAGGGUAAGAAAGUCAGACAAGAGUUGGCCACAAAAUGGUGCCUGCCAACAAGGGGAAGCCAGCCUGGACGAAGUUGGGAGCUCGCUGCCACAGGCUCCUCAGAUCGCCUUUAGGGAGCGCCAGGCACAGGAGCCUUCAUGUUGAGGCCUCUCUCUUGCAUCACACACAUUUCUCAAGUUCAUGCUCGGAGCCUGGAGGCUCUGAUUCGGAUCCCGGUCCGAGUUAACUUUGUGCUUUGGGACAAAUGAUCUAAGGGCUCUGAGCCUUGGUAUCCUCAUCUUCAAAAAGGGAUAAUCUAAUUCUCCCUCCUUAUAUUGUUUUGAGGAAUAAAUGAGGACAGAUGCAGACUCUGUAGUGCUAUGGUCUAAACGUUCGUGUCCCCACGUUGAAGCCCUAAUCCCCAAGGUGAGAAUGGGUGGGUCCCGGGAGAUGAUUAGGUCAUGAGGGUGGGGCCCUCAGCGUGGGAUUAGUGCCCUUAUGGAAGAGGCAUCCAGGGAGUGUCUCGCCCUUCCCUGCCUCCCAAACGGUAAGAAAUAAAUUUCUGUUCUUUAUAAGCUACGUAGUCUAUGGUAUUUAAGUUACAGCCGCCCAAAUGGACUGAGGCACUUAGCACAGCAUUUGCACCUUGCAGACCCUUAUGGACUUGUCUCCCUCUUUCCCUUCCUCUGUUUUUC
rnacentral:lncRNA from 1 species